rnacentral:rRNA from 1 species
UAAUUCUUCCUCNACAUGAGGGAAGCUGAAAGUCGGUUUCGGCUGACACUUACAGAUGGGCCCGCGGCGCAUUAGCUAGUUGGUGAGGUAACGGCUCACCAAGGCGACGAUGCGUAGCCGACCUGAGAGGGUGAUCGGCCACACUGGGACUGAGACACGGCCCAGACUCCUACGGGAGGCAGCAGUAGGGAAUCUUCCGCAAUGGACGAAAGUCUGACGGAGCAACGCCGCGUGAGUGAUGAAGGUUUUCGGAUCGUAAAACUCUGUUGUUAGGGAAGAACAAGUAUCGGAGUAACUGCCGGUACCUUGACGGUACCUAACCAGAAAGCCACGGCUAACUACGUG